rnacentral:lncRNA from 1 species
CCUUUAAAAAAUUCAAGCUUGACUUAUACAGCCAAUUAAGCCCUGUUGGGGAAUCUGGUCUCAUACCUUGUCCACACAGAGUCCUUGUACAAGUUUCCCGACCUGUGAAAGAAGAAAGAGCUUUAACAGACAUUUGAUAAUGAAUUGUUACUUCUUACUCAUGUUUAUAUAUAAACUCUUGACUGUCAAUGCUAUAAAAGACAAUUCAAAAGGAAGAAAUGCAGUUAUAUUGAAACACCAUUCAAAACAUCACAACAAGAAAUGCAGUCUACUAUAAACUGAGUAAAUAGAAAGAUAUACAGUAGUACUGAGGCUACUACCAGGAGAAGGCAAUAUUGGUACUGAACAAAAAAGAGUUUCUUCACACUGAAGUACAGCACAGUUGAGAAGCAUGAAAUAAAGAC